rnacentral:piRNA from 1 species
UAUAUCUGGUUUCUCGAUUUU